rnacentral:tRNA from 2 species
CGGGGCGUGGCGCAGUCCGGUAGCGCACCAAGCUGGGGGCUUGGUGGUCGGAGGUUCAAAUCCUCUCGCCCCGACCA